ensembl:snoRNA U3 Small nucleolar RNA U3
AAGAAUAUACUUUCAGGGAUCAUUUCUAUAGUUUGUUGCCUUUCAUGUUUUACCACCAAAUAUAAAGUUGGCCAUUUGGC